GGCCAGUGAAAUCAAAAUUUCUUACAUGAAAACCAAAUUCGAGUCUGAUGAAUGGUCUAAAAGUAAUUCCCGUAAUCGCAGGAGGUUCAUCCACGUCCGUAAUAAUCACGAGAUCAGAAUAAUCAAUCCGGAAUUUCGAUAGCAACAUUGCCAUCCUUGAUAAUUUGAAUGAAAACGGCCAAUUCGUGGACCCCGGAUGCCGUACAGAAGAUGCGCAAUUUAGUUUCAGACCAAUUGGAUCGGCUGUUUAUGAUAACGGGCAGCAGAAGUGUCAAUCCUAGUGAAUGGAUGUAGCGAAGGAAAGUGAAUUGAAAAUACUAGCAGUUAAUUUCAGUGCUUUGACUACCUCCAUCAU